CUCCAGUUACAGGACAUUCAGAGAAAUCAGGGACAAGAAAUAGUGAAGGUCAUUAAAUUUAUAAUGUUAUAAUAUGCACAUAUGCAAUAAUAAGUUGUUGAAUAACUGUAAUGCAAUAUCUUUACAUUUAUAUAUAUAAUGUGUGUGUGUGUUUAAUUUAAUCUCAACAGAUGGACACAAAAAAAUAUGCAGUGGUGGAAUUUACAGAGGACAGUGCAGUGGAACUAGUCCCAACCUCGUGGUUGGAAGAGACCAAAGAGGGAACGUUCUGUUACUGGACAUUUGGAAACAUAAGGCAGCUUGUAAAAAAAUGCACAAUGCCAAACAAAGGAAAGUGGAGGCGGUGUCUAAUAAAAAAAAAAUUGGCUUUAAUCUACAGUAUCUUCAGUACAGUGAGGAUUGUUAAAAUCAUAUCUAAUUAUCAAGAAAAUUGCUUAAAAAAACAAAACAAACUAUACUUUACACCAACAACAUAUUUUCCAGACUCAUACACCAAAGGUGUCCGGAAAUGCAGGCGUGUUGUGGAGACCUCAAAUAUUGAAACAGAGGACAGCUCCACAAUGAAAAAAAAAGAGGGCACACAAAAAGCCAACAAGAUAUCUGUCUGAAACAGAUUCUUCCUCAGAUGAUGAUAGCAGAGUUUUCCCAACUGAGAAUAAAACCGUUUCAAAACCUCUUCCACCGAAAUAUUAGCCAUUCUCCAAUUUUCAGCCUCUGGACAAUGCAGAAGAAUCACCGCCAGCAUCCCGGCCAUCGUGUAUGGCACAACCCCUUCAAGCUGCCUCACAGCUCCUCUUAGAAGAGCCCCAGUGUUCUUCAGAAGCAGCAACAAAGAACUAUCGCACAAAAGUCUUGCAAAAACUGCAAGACAUUGCAGAAACCCAGCAAGACAUCUUAACGAUGCAAAGAAGCAUUCUGGCUGCUGUUGCUGGGACGGUGACAGUGA